UCUGAACGGCAAUGAGAAACUCGGUCCUUAGGUUAACAGCUGUGUUUUUCGUUCCUAAUUGCCUUUUUGUUAACGUCUGCGCAAUUAAUGACGAGUUGACUAAUUAUGAUGUGGCUGUGGACAGCUCAAGCCCUGAGGUCUUAGGUGGCUAAUUGGCAUUAAUUGUCGGUAAUUAGCCAGGUCUUUGAGUAAACCUUCUGCAGAAGGUUCUCUACGGGACUGGGGUGGUCUUCCAUCCUGUAAAUGAUAUUCGCGGUGGCAAAAUCGAGGCGCACUCUUAAUCCCGGCUGUUGCUGUCCACUGCCUCGGAGGUGCUACUCUAUGGCUUGCAGUAGCCGAGCCAUUAAUCAUGGGAUCCGUUCGCUGCUGUCCAACCUGUGCAGCACACGUCUUUGUUUCACUGGGCGGGGGAGUGAUUUAUCAUCAGUAGUGGACUAAGUAAGGAUGCAUCUGCGGGAAAGAUAGAUCUUGCGUUCAAGACCCGUACUAGGCUACCAGAGGGAACGGCCUGCUGGAACAGAUGAGGGCUGUGGGUGUGUCCAGCGCUGGUGCUAGAGGCAUUGAUGCUUAUCGCUGUGCUGUCUGGAGCGAGAUCUUCGAUAGGACCCUGCAGCACCUGCCCUCAGAAAUCCAAAUAACACUUUGGAUGCGUUCGGAGCUGCCUGUGGUUUUCCGACGGUCUCUGAAGGUCUCCCAGAUUCACGCCCGCCUGAGCACGCCAUGGGAGAGCCCAGAUGCCGGUGGACCGCAAGCGAGACGGAGACAAAGACCCCGGACUCGUGCUGUCUGGGGAAAUGGGAAGCCCUUCAGCUGUGCAGAGCAACACUGACGCAAGUGUGGCAGCGCAGGCAGGCACUGUCUUUGGGAUCAGAAACGGAUUAUUGAAGAGCAAGUUUCCUAAACUCACUUGGUCCAUUUUUUUGUUGCCUUUGGGAUGAAUCGGUCAGUGACCUACAGCCAGGCUUCCUCAUCAUAUGUUACAGUAUCGGGAACCAAAACUAUCUUGGUCCUCCUGCGUUCUAAUAAAAAAAAAAUUCUUGAUUUUCCAAGGUCCAUGGAAAUUUUCUCAUAAACACAUUCUUUGUACUGAGUUUUCAAAGUUCACUCUUCAAUUACAUCAUCAUAAACCUCUGAACAUUUCUGUCUGCCUGUCUGUAUCUGUCUGUCUAUCUUCAU